GGUAGCGAUCGCUUGGCCUUAAAGCUUCAAAAAUGUCUGCAGUCAAAAUACAAUGUUUACAGGGACACCAUAACUCAUGCAAGGAACGCAGGUUAUUACAGCAGUUGUACCAAUCUUCACUUCAUUCCUCUGUAAAUCCAAUCCCACCGCAGUUCAUGGGGACUCAAUGCAAUGAACAGUAACUCAAUUUAAACUCUACCUGAAUUUCUGCACAAUAAACUGUUAUGUAAAUAGAACUCAAAAUAGC